rnacentral:rRNA from 1 species
CCUACGGGUGGCAACAGUCGAGAAUCAUUCACAAUGGGGGAAACCCUGAUGGUGCGACGCCGCGUGGGGGAAUGAAGGUCUUCGGAUUGUAAACCCCUGUCAUGUGGGAGCAAAUUAAAAAGAUAGUACCACACGAGGAAGAGACGGCUAACUCUGUGCCAGCAGCCGCGGUAAUACAGAGGUCUCAAGCGUUGUUCGGAAUCACUGGGCGUAAAGCGUGCGUAGGCUGUUUCGUAAGUCGUGUGUGAAAGGCGCGGGCUCAACCCGCGGACGGCACAUGAUACUGCGAGACUAGAGUAAUGGAGGGGGAACCGGAAUUCUCGGUGUAGCAGUGAAAUGCGUAGAUAUCGAGAGGAACACUCGUGGCGAAGGCGGGUUCCUGGACAUUAACUGACGCUGAGGCACGAAGGCCAGGGGAGCGAAAGGGAUUAGAUACCCGUGUAGUC